rnacentral:rRNA from 1 species
UGCGACCUCAGGUCAGGCGGGGCAACCCGCCGAGUUUAAGC